AGUGAACGCUGGCGGUAGGCCUAACACAUGCAAGUCGAACGGCAGCACAGUAAGAGCUUGCUCUUACGGGUGGCGAGUGGCGGACGGGUGAGGAAUACAUCGGAAUCUACUUUUUCGUGGGGGAUAACGUAGGGAAACUUACGCUAAUACCGCAUACGACCUACGGGUGAAAGCAGGGGAUCUUCGGACCUUGCGCGAUUGAAUGAGCCGAUGUCGGAUUAGCUAGUUGGCGGGGUAAAGGCCCACCAAGGCGACGAUCCGUAGCUGGUCUGAGAGGAUGAUCCGGCCCACUUGAAACGAGACAAGGUUCAGACUCCUACGGGAGGCAGCAGUGGGGAAUAUUGGACAAUGGGCGCAAGCCUGAUCCAGCCAUACCGCGUGGGUGAAGAAGGCCUUCGGGUUGUAAAGCCCUUUUGUUGGGAAAGAAAAGCAGCAGGUUAAUACCCCGCUGUUCUGACGGUACCCAAAGAAUAAGCACCGGCUAACUUCGUG
rnacentral:rRNA from 1 species